rnacentral:rRNA from 1 species
CAGCAGCCGCGGGAACACGUAGGGUGCAAGCGUUAAUCGGAAUUACUGGGCGUAAAGCGUGCGCAGGCGGUUGUGUAAGUCUGAUGUGAAAGCCCCGGGCUCAACCUGGGAACUGCAUUGGAGACUGCACGGCUAGAGUGCGACAGAGGGGGGUAGAAUUCCGCGUGUAGCAGUGAAAUGCGUAGAGAUGCGGAGGAAUACCGAUGGCGAAGGCAGCCCCCUGGGAUGACACUGACGCUCAUGCACGAAAGCGUGGGGAGCAAACAGGAUUAGAUACCCGUGUAGUCCCUGUCUCUUAUAC